UACGUAGGGGCUAGCGUUGUCCGGAAUCAUUGGGCGUAAAGAGCGCGUAGGCGGCUAGAUAAGUCCGGUGUGAAAGUCACAGGCUCAACCUGUGAAUGCCGCUGGAAACUGUCUGGCUAGAGUCCGGAAGGGGCGAGUGGAAUUCCUGGUGGAGCGGUGAAAUGCGCAGAGAUCAGGAGGAACACCCGUAGCGAAGGCGGCACUCUGGGCCAUACUGACGUGAGGAGCGAAAGCGUGGGGAGCGAACAGG
rnacentral:rRNA from 1 species